rnacentral:rRNA from 1 species
UACGUAGGUGGCAAGCGUUGUCCGGAAUUAUUGGGCGUAAAGCGCGCGCAGGCGGUCUCUUAAGUCUGAUGUGAAAGCCCACGGCUCAACCGUGGAGGGUCAUUGGAAACUGGGAAACUUGAGUGCAGAAGAGAAGAGCGGAAUUCCACGUGUAGCGGUGAAAUGCGUAGAUAUCAAGUGGAACACCAGUGGCGAAGGCGAGUCCCUGGAAAACUCCUGACACUGAGGCACGAAAAGCUAGGGGAGCAAAACAGG